GACGAACGCUGGCGGCGUGCUUAACACAUGCAAGUCGAACGGAAAGACCCUGCUUUUGUGGGGUGCUCGAGUGGCGAACGGGUGAGUAACACGUGAGUAACCUGCCCUUGACUUUGGGAUAACUUCAGGAAACUGGGGCUAAUACCGGAUAGGAGCUCCUGCUGCAUGGUGGGGGUUGGAAAGUUUCGGCGGUUGGGGAUGGACUCGCGGCUUAUCAGCUUGUUGGUGGGGUAGUGGCUUACCAAGGCUUUGACGGGUAGCCGGCCUGAGAGGGUAACCGGCCACAUUGGGACUGAGAUACGGCCCAGACUCCUACGGGAGGCAGCAGUGGGGAAUAUUGCACAAUGGGCGGAAGCCUGAUGCAGCAACGCCGCGUGCGGGAUGACGGCCUUCGGGUUGUAAACCGCUUUCGCCUGUGACGAAGCGUGAGUGACGGUAAUGGGUAAAGAAGCACCGGCUAACUACGUG
rnacentral:rRNA from 1 species